UACAGAGGUCUCAAGCGUUGUUCGGAUUCAUUGGGCGUAAAGGGUGCGCAGGCGGCGCGGUAAGUCGGGUGUGAAAUCUCGGAGCUUAACUCCGAAACUGCAUUCGAUACUGCCGUGCUUGAGGACUGGAGAGGAGACUGAAAUUUACGGUGUAGCGGUGAAAUGCGUAGAUAUCGUAAGGAAGACCAGUGGCGAAGGCGGGUCUCUGGACAGUUCCUGACGCUGAGGCACGAAGGUCAGGGGAGCAAACGGG
rnacentral:rRNA from 1 species